UACGGGGGGGGCAAGCGUUGUUCGGAUUUACUGGGCGUAAAGGGCUCGUAGGUGGCCAAUUAAGUCAGGCGUGAAAUCCCCAGGCUCAACUUGGGAACUGCGUCUGAUACUGGUUGGCUUGAAUUCGGGAGAGGGAUGCAGAAUUCCAGGUGUAGCGGUGAAAUGCGCAGAUAUCAGGAGGAACACCAAUGGCGAAGGCAGCUCGCUGGAACGGUACUGACGCUGAGGCGCGAAAGCGUGGGGAGCGAACAGG
rnacentral:rRNA from 1 species